AGUAACGGCAUCUGAGCCCUCCAAUUCCAGGUCAAAUGGAUUAUCUCAUUCCUGGAGUGAAAGGAUCCCAGACACGAAACAUAUUUCAGACAUCUGUGAAAAUGGGAGACCUAGGAGUAAUUCUUGGCAAGGUAAUAUAGGAGGAAACAGAAAGAAAGUCAAAGGCAAAAGAUUUAGGCCACGGUCUAAUUCAACUGAGUGUCUUCACAGCCAUUCCUAUAGUAAUUCCCAAUGAUGGUGACAACCUGCACCAUCACUGCAGGGUUUUGUCUACAGUAAACUGCCAUU